GUCACCACCAGGGUUGCUGGGACUAUAGGUUAUAUGGCCCCUGAAUAUGCACUCUGGGGUUAUUUAACACAUAAAGCAGAUUUAUACAGUUUUGGAGUGGUUGUAUUGGAACUCGUUGCUGGGAAGAACAACAUGAAAUAUCAUCCUGAUGAGAAUUAUGUUUGUCUUCUUGAUUGGGCCCUGGUUCUACAAAAAAAGGGUAAGUUUUUGGAGCUAGUAGACCCAAGGUUAGGUUCCUAUUACGACAAGGAGGAGGCGUUGAGGAUGAUUAAAGUGGCCUUACGAUGUACUAAUCCAUCUCCAGCACUAAGGCCAAACAUGUCUGCAGUAGUAAACAUGCUUGAAGGUCGUUUGAACGUUGACGAGUCUAACAUCGAUUCAAGUGGCUACGAUGAUGAAUUUAAUUUUCAAGGUUUAAGAGACAAAUAUGAUGAGAUGCAAGUAACUUCUAGUGAAAACCAAUCAGUCCUUUUUUCAACUGGCACAAAGGGUACUGAUCACUCUUCUUCUACCUUUCCUUCUACAUCUACCUCUAAAUAAAUCUCCCUGUAUGCUCAAUGUUGUAUUAUAUAAGACAAAAAAAGUAUCAAUAAUAACAAACAAGAUGAAGAGGAG
rnacentral:misc_RNA from 1 species